GAUGAACGCUGGCGGCGUGCCUAAUACAUGCAAGUAGAACGCUGAAGGAGGAGCUUGCUCUUCUGGAUGAGUUGCGAACGGGUGAGUAACGCGUAGGUAACCUGCCUGGUAGCGGGGGAUAACUAUUGGAAACGAUAGCUAAUACCGCAUGACAACAGUUAUUGCAUGAUAACUGUUUAAAAGGGGCAACUGCUCCACUACCAGAUGGACCUGCGUUGUAUUAGCUAGUUGGUGAGGUAACGGCUCACCAAGGCGACGAUACAUAGCCGACCUGAGAGGGUGAUCGGCCACACUGGGACUGAGACACGGCCCAGACUCCUACGGGAGGCAGCAGUAGGGAAUCUUCGGCAAUGGACGGAAGUCUGACCGAGCAACGCCGCGGGAGUGAAGAAGGUUUUCGGGUCGUAAAGCUCUGUUGUAAGAGAAGAACGAGUGUGAGGGUGGAAAGUUCACACUGUGACGGUAUCUUACCAGAAAGGGACGGCUAACUACGUG
rnacentral:rRNA from 1 species